CGUAGGUGGCAAGCGUUGUCCGGAUUUACUGGGCGUAAAGGAUGCGUAGGUGGAUAUUUAAGUGGGAUGUGAAAUACCCGGGCUCAACUCGGGUGCUGCAUUCCAAACUGGAUAUCUAGAGUGCAGGAGAGGUAAGUGGAAUUCCUAGUGUAGCGGUGAAAUGCGUAGAGAUUAGGGAGAACACCAGUGGCGAAGGCGACUUACUGGACUGUAACUGACACUGAGGCAUGAAAGCGUGGGGAGCAAACAGGAUUAGAUACCCUGGUAGUCCACGCCGUAAACGAUGGGUACUAGGUGUGGGAGGUAUCGACCCCUUCCGUGCCGCCGUUAACACAAUAAGUACCCCGUCUGGGGAGUACGGUCGCAAGAUUA
rnacentral:rRNA from 1 species